rnacentral:pre_miRNA from 1 species
AAUAGAAUUGUUUGGUCAAAUGGUAACUCUGUGUUUAACAUUUUAAAGACCUGCUAGAAUAUUUUCCAAAGUGGUUGCACCAUUUUAUAUUCCUACCAGCAGU